rnacentral:rRNA from 1 species
UACGUAGGGUGCGAGCGUUUGUCCGGAAUUAUUGGGCGUAAAGAGCUUGUAGGCGGUUUGUCGCGUCUGCUGUGAAAAUCCGGGCUCAACCCGGACUUGCAGUGGGUACGGGCAGACUAGAGUGUGGUAGGGGAGACUGGAAUUCCUGGUGUAGCGGUGAAAUGCGCAGAUAUCAGGAGGAACGACCGAUGGCGAAGGCAGGUCUCUGGGCCACUAUCUGACGCUGAGAAGCGAAAGCAUGGGGAGCGAAACAGG